GGGGCUAUGCUCAGUGGAAGAGCAUCUGUCUUGCAUGCGGAAGGUCCCAGGUUCAAUUAUUGACAUCUCUA